rnacentral:tRNA from 1 species
GUAGCUCAAUUGGCAGAGCACUAAUGUUACCCUUCUCGCCUUUUGUCCGCUAUUUAUAUAGGUUUUUUUAGCGGUAUUGUAAAAAAGAGAUACUUCGAUAUGGGAUCCGUAAGUCGUUGGUUCGAGUCCAACCCCGUCCA